UACGAGGGGGGCGAGCGUUGUUCGGAAUUAUUGGGCGUAAAGAGCUCGUAGGCGGCUUGUCGCGUCGAAUGUGAAAACCUGCAGCUCAACUGCGGGCUUGCAUUCGAUACGGGCAGGCUCGAGUUCGGUAGGGGAGACUGGAAUUCCUGGUGUAGCGGUGAAAUGCGCAGAUAUCAGGAGGAACACCGGUGGCGAAGGCGGGUCUCUGGGCCGAUACUGACGCUGAGGAGCGAAAGCGUGGGGAGCGAACAGG
rnacentral:rRNA from 1 species